rnacentral:tRNA from 1 species
UGAAUCAUUGACUAAUCGGCAAGUCCUCUAGAUUUGGUCUAGAUUAUAUACGUUCGAAUCGUAUUGAUUCAG